CUGAUGUAAUGAAGAGCUUUGACUUACUUGAAGUAUAACCCAUUGGCCUUCUUUUGAUGCCUUUUCCACAGCUAUUUCUGCUGCAGCUUCCUGUCCUUGACCCAGCGAUACAUUGUGAAGUUCUCCUGAGUCAAUGAAUCCUGGUAAAAUGCAGUAAAGGAUUUAAGGUUAUCGUCUGUCUCUCUCUAACUUCUGACAUCUCUUUAUAACAAGAAAGAGUCACAGCCAACUGUAACAGGAGGGCAACACAAUGAAUUCUGGUGUUUUAUGAGAAAUUGGAUCUGCAUAUCACAGUAUCUUUUUCCCAUGGGUUAAAGGAAACUGUUCUAACACUUCCAGCUUCUGCUGCCCAGUCAUUCUCUCUUUGUAAUUAGCAUGAAGACUACCCUUCAGUCAAAACUAGCCACCUGGAAAGUUUCAGCUUGUAAUAUGCAGCUUUUUUUGUGAAUUAUGAAUGUGCAAAAAAGAGACCUUUCUCCUUACACCCACUUCCUUGCAUAAUUCAAAUAUGAAUGAAUGAAUUUUAUUCAGCCUUGCCAAAAAAAAAAUUAUAUUUCAGCUGAUAACAAGCAUGAAAAAUUUCAGAUGAAAGGGAUUUUUUUUAAAAAAGAAGAAUAUUCUGAGCAUGGGAGAAUAGCAGGUUAAGACAGAAGUCUCAGCUCAGCCUUAGCUAUAACAAUUGCUAUCAAGCAAAUACCAUAUCCAAGCACUAAAUCUUGCUUUGUGCUGCCCUGGUGCACAGUAGCAGGGACAGAGUAGAAUAAUAAAAGCUGGUCCCUUAUGCAAACAGCAAGGCACAGCACUUGAAAGAACACGAGAAGAAGGUGAGCCUGCCUACUGCUCUGGCUGGCUAACCAUGUUCCCAAGGUCUGUGGGUUAGUUGUCACCUCUAGCUCCCGUCAGAUAGCAAAAGGUACUUCAAACACUAGCACAGGGAAUGUUUUGGUCCAUUCCAGAAUAUUUUACUAAUUCCUUGCCUCCAAAUGUAGUAUUCUAUUAAAUAAAGUAUUUGAAGGAAUUUUUAUAAGCAACAUCACGGUUUAAUGGGUCAAAAAGGGAAUUGAAUCAGUGCCAGGCAUUUUGUGAUUAACCAUGUAUUUUAAAAAUAUAUAUCUGUGAAGAAGGUAUUAUCUGUGCAAAGCAGAAUGAGAUUUGGGCUCAUGCCAGUACCACUUUGAAAAUAAACUAUCACAGUGGAGAAAUGUUACCAUCUGGAACAUUUCUGCAUUAUAUUUUCUCUUGUUCCUAAUAAUGCUUUGGUGAUAAGUCCAGCUCUCCUUUUCUACUGAGAAAACAGGAUUAAAACUCCCAUUAAUUUACUAUGUGUUUGUUAAAAAAUGCCCAUUACAGUAGCUAAACAGCAGUGAAUACUAAAGUAUUACCUUGCAGAUUCACAGAUCCACAUUGAUUAGGGGAUCAACAGACAGGAUUUGCAAAUGGCAAGCCUGGGCAUAAAAAUCUCCUUCCAGUCUGAUGUGAGUCGACUGUUGCAAGUUGAACUUGGCAGCAAGUGACCAAAAUUGAGUUGUCAGCACCCUCCUGCAUAGUGGAAGAAGUUGUUGCUUUCUAGUGCAGAUGCAAGAGUUUCUGUGGGAAAACAGAACAUAAUCAUGGUUCUGAAUGUCUCUGUGGAUUGGUAAUGUCUCUAAUACAUAGAUCACUUGUGCAAAUUCAGUCCCAGCUGGAUGGGAAAUUAUUGAAAAUAGUUGUUGUUUGAUUGAUAUAAAAUGAGUUGUCAGCUUGAUUCAAUGCCUUCAGGGCAGAUGUCCACAGCAUAAUUGGCACCUGUCAGAAGCAAAGAAUUCCUUGGUACAGAGUAACAGCUACUCAUGCAACCACCCAGAACAGUCCUUGCAUGCCAGGGCUCAGAGAAGAAGGCAGAAAAAGAAAAAAAAAUAAUGCUGGGCAGGAUCUUUUAUGCCAUAAAGCCAGUAAGAUAUUUGAUGUGACACUUGGUGCAAGCUUUUCCCUGGGAUCCUGGCUAGACACGAUCAGCUUUUCUGCUGUUUGGUCAACACUUUCCCUAAGAAUUAGAAGAAAACUCCCAUAUUUGGUUACUUGCUAUUAUUGUCAUGGUAGAGGUGGGUUUAUAAAGACCAGUUAAUAAAGAAAUGUUUACAUGUUUGCUUAUUAUAAAAAAUGCUGUGAAUAAUUUUAUUUUUAUAUUUUUUGAGAAAUUCUCCUCACAACACAACUAGAGAAAUGAGUGUCCUCUCAGCAGAAAAAUAUGGCAAAGAAACUGCCAGGACUGACAGUAUAGCAGUGUCAGUAUUACACUGUUUGCUAAUAGUAAACAGUGACCUAUUGUUUACCACAGAGGAGAUUAAAAUGGAUUUUUUCCUAUAAAUCAGUAAAUAGCUGUCAUAUGGUUGUUAGUGCCUUUGACCAAGUGUGGUACAGCUAACAACAGGAAUGAAUUCUAUUUCCCAUCACCAAUCUGUCGAGCUGGCCACCUUCUUCAUGGGGCUGGUGCUUUGGGAGGUACUAGCUGAAGGACUUUCCAUUAAAACUCAUUUUACUGUCUUCAUCUAGCGCAUGGCUCAACUUUCCUUCUUUCCUUUCAUCUCUGUUUCCUCCUUUAGAUUAUUUUUCAUUAUGCCUCCCCCCCCAGCAUACCCACACUUCGCCUUUCAUCUCUCUAUGUAUGCUAUUCCAGCACUUGUCAGGCCCAGCAGGAGGCACAUGGGAGAACCAAACAAUAUGAUAUGUUAGGUGGAAGGAAAUAUUAGAACAAUCAUUUAUUGUCACACUUUAAAGAGGUCUGCUAUGUUAUUUAUUUUAUUAUUCUGUAUUAGGUACAUGGUUUAGUUUUACAGGCAUUAUUAAUCACUAAAAUACAUUACACUUUCAGCCAGGAUGCUAACAUUUUAAAUGCAUUCAUCUUGCUUCUUUAAACAGAAACAAUGGGUCUUCUGCACUGCUCUCCCUCCCCUUUAGUCAAUAAAUCCUUUCUAUUGAUUCACGAAAUAACUCUUAAACCUUGUUUUAUAUUUUAAGUUCCACUAGCUACACUCAGCCAUAUAAUUUUGCUCAAUAACAAAUGGAUCUUCUAUUUUUGUUGUUUACUAUGUGUUUGGUUAUCACACUCAGCUUGAAAGUAUUGGGUAGAAAAGGACAAAAACUGUAGUGGCAGUGAGCCACCAUGAGAGAUUUCCUAAAUGAAUGUUGCAAUAAAAUAAAGUAUCUGUAAAAA